rnacentral:rRNA from 1 species
GAUUGAACGCUGGCGGCAUGCCUUACACAUGCAAGUCGAACGGCAGCACGGGUGCUUGCACCUGGUGGCGAGUGGCGAACGGGUGAGUAAUACAUCGGAACAUGUCCUGUAGUGGGGGAUAGCCCGGCGAAAGCCGGAUUAAUACCGCAUACGAUCUACGGAUGAAAGCGGGGGACCUUCGGGCCUCGCGCUAUAGGGUUGGCCGAUGGCUGAUUAGCUAGUUGGUGGGGUAAAGGCCUACCAAGGCGACGAUCAGUAGCUGGUCUGAGAGGACGACCAGCCACACUGGGACUGAGACACGGCCCAGACUCCUACGGGAGGCAGCAGUGGGGAAUUUUGGACAAUGGGCGAAAGCCUGAUCCAGCAAUGCCGCGUGUGUGAAGAAGGCCUUCGGGUUGUAAAGCACUUUUGUCCGGAAAGAAAUCCUUGGCUCUAAUACAGUCGGGGGAUGACGGUACCGGAAGAAUAAGCACCGGCUAACUACGUGCCAGCAGCCGCGGUAAUACGUAGGGUGCGAGCGUUAAUCGGAAUUACUGGGCGUAAAGCGUGCGCAGGCGGUUUGCUAAGACCGAUGUGAAAUCCCCGGGCUCAACCUGGGAACUGCAUUGGUGACUGGCAGGCUAGAGUAUGGCAGAGGGGGGGUAGAAUUCCACGUGUAGCAGUGAAAUGCGUAGAGAUGUGGAGGAAUACCGAUGGCGAAAGGCAGCCCCCUGGGCCAAUACUGACGCUCAUGCACGAAAGCGUGGGGGAGCAAACAGGAUUAGAUACCCUGGUAGUCCACGCCCUAAACGAUGUCAACUAGUUGUUGGGGAUUCAUUUCCUUAGUAACGUAGCUAACGCGUGAAGUUGACCGCCUGGGGAGUACGGUCGCAAGAUUAAAACUCAAAGGAAUUGACGGGGACCCGCACAAGCGGUGGAUGAUGUGGAUUAAUUCGAUGCAACGCGAAAAACCUUACCUACCCUUGACAUGGUCGGAAUCCUGCUGAGAGGUGGGAGUGCUCGAAAGAGAACCGGCGCACAGGUGCUGCAUGGCUGUCGUCAGCUCGUGUCGUGAGAUGUUGGGUUAAGUCCCGCAACGAGCGCAACCCUUGUCCUUAGUUGCUACGCAAGAGCACUCUAAGGAGACUGCCGGUGACAAACCGGAGGAAGGUGGGGAUGACGUCAAGUCCUCAUGGCCCUUAUGGGUAGGGCUUCACACGUCAUACAAUGGUCGGAACAGAGGGUUGCCAACCCGCGAGGGGGAGCUAAUCCCAGAAAACCGAUCGUAGUCCGGAUUGCACUCUGCAACUCGAGUGCAUGAAGCUGGAAUCGCUAGUAAUCGCGGAUCAGCAUGCCGCGGUGAAUACGUUCCCGGGUCUUGUACACACCGCC